UACGUAGGGUGCGAGCGUUGUCCGGAUUUAUUGGGCGUAAAGAGCUCGUAGGCGGCUUGUCGCGUCGACUGUGAAAACCCGAGGCUCAACUUCGGGCUUGCAGUCGAUACGGGCAGGCUAGAGUUCGGUAGGGGAGACUGGAAUUCCUGGUGUAGCGGUGAAAUGCGCAGAUAUCAGGAGGAACACCGAUGGCGAAGGCAGGUCUCUGGGCUGUAACUGACGCUGAGGAGCGAAAGCAUGGGGAGCGAACAGG
rnacentral:rRNA from 1 species